rnacentral:rRNA from 1 species
GACGAACGCUGGCGGUGUGCUUAACACAUGCAAGUGGAGCGACGAACCAGGCCUUGCCCUGGGGCAGAGCCGCGAACGGGUGAGUAACACGUGGGUAACCUACCCCGAUGACCGGGACAACCCGAGGAAACUCGGGCUAAUACCGGAUGUGCUCUCUCCUCACGAGAGGAGCGAGUAAAGGAAGCUUCGGCCUCCGCAUUGGGAGGGGCCCGCGGCCCAUUAGCUAGUUGGUGGGGCAACGGCCUACCAAGGCUUCGAUGGGUAGCUGGUCUGAGAGGACGAUCAGCCACACUGGGACUGAGACACGGCCCAGACUCCUACGGGAGGCAGCAGUGGGGAAUCUUGCGCAAUGCGCGACAGCGUGACGCAGCAACACCGCGUGGGGGAAGAAGGCCUUCG